GAUGAACGCUGGCGGCGUGCCUAAUACAUGCAAGUCGAGCGAACAGACGAGGAGCUUGCUCCUCUGACGUUAGCGGCGGACGGGUGAGUAACACGUGGAUAACCAACCUAUAAGACUGGGAUAACUUCGGGAAACCGGAGCUAAUACCGGAUAAUAUAUUGAACCGCAUGGUUCAAUAGUGAAAGACGGUUUUGCUGUCACUUAUAGAUGGAUCCGCGCCGCAUUAGCUAGUUGGUAAGGUAACGGCUUACCAAGGCGACGAUGCGUAGCCGACCUGAGAGGGUGAUCGGCCACACUGGAACUGAGACACGGUCCAGACUCCUACGGGAGGCAGCAGUAGGGAAUCUUCCGCAAUGGGCGAAAGCCUGACGGAGCAACGCCGCGUGAGUGAUGAAGGUCUUCGGAUCGUAAAACUCUGUUAUUAGGGAAGAACAAAUGUGUAAGUAACUAUGCACGUCUUGACGGUACCUAAUCAGAAAGCCACGGCUAACUACGUG
rnacentral:rRNA from 1 species